UGGGGCGUCGUCAAGCGGUAAGACACUUGCCUUUGGAGCAAGCAUUCCCAGGUUCGAAUCCUGGCGCCCCAG
rnacentral:tRNA from 1 species